rnacentral:tRNA from 1 species
UGGCUGAGAUGGUAAAGCACCUGUAUGCAAUGCAGGAGACCCAGGUUCAAGCCAUGG